rnacentral:rRNA from 1 species
CACGGAGGAUCCGAGCGUUAUCCGGAUUUAUUGGGUUUAAAGGGUGCGUAGGCGGAAUGGUAAGUCAGUGGUGAAAUACUGCAGCUCAACUGUAGCAUUGCCAUUGAUACUGUCAUUCUUGAGUACAGAUGAGGUAGGCGGAAUGUGGUGUGUAGCGGUGAAAUGCAUAGAUAUACCACAGAACACCGAUUGCGAAGGCAGCUUACUAAGCUGACACUGACGCUGAAGCACGAAAGCGUGGGUAUCAAACAGG